CUCCUCUAUCUCAUUUGGUUUUGGAUUCAAUUGCACGGUUCAUCCUAACAUCAAAGAUGAAAAAUGCUCCAACACCAAAUAGCACAAUCUCCAGCCACGCCAGGCCUCAUGAACCCAAACUCAACUUCUCUUCAAAACCCUCCCUUUCCUCAACUACCCCCCUCCCCCACCAGCAGUAGCAACAGCAACCCCCAAAUCUCUUCGCCUCCACCACCAUCGUCAACUCUCCUCCCUCUUCUCCAUAAAGCCUAGUUUCUUCUUCUCCUUAUUCUCCAAGUUCUUCAAAGUCUUCCCAAAUCAUCCCUUUGGCUCUCCAGCUUUGGCGGAUGGCUAUCUACAUUCAUCUCCUUACAAACCCAAUCAAUUCCUCAACCUCUACUCAAAUCCAGUCCUUGUAUCACAGAGAAUCUUGUGUCCCCCCAAGACAAGUUCUACCCACAGAUAAACCCUGAAUGCACUGAGUGUACAACUUUUGG
rnacentral:misc_RNA from 1 species